UUCCUGAUAGCUUAAAGGUAAAGCAUUUGGUUGUUAACCAUUGGAUUGCAGGUUCGAAUCUUGCUCAGGAAG
rnacentral:tRNA from 1 species